ensembl:lncRNA
CCCACCUGGGGAGUUCCCGCCUCCUCUGUUUAAUCGCCGGUCCUCCCACGACGGGGAUCCCCGCCCCUCCUCGAUGGGGGGUCUCCUCCAGCCCCGCCCCCCGCCCCUCAGAGUGCGGGCGCCAUCCUGAAGCCUUUGUUGUAUGUAGGCCGCGUCCUCCUGUUGGCGGAGAACCCUGAGGACGCAGCUGCCGGAGGAAAGGCAUCCGGAUCUUGGGGACCUCUGGCCCCGUUCGGCAGCCUGCGCUGUCCGGGGGCCCCGGGACCAAAGCCGGCCCGUGUCGCUCUUCGAUGUGGAGGACUACAGGGCACCACUCUUGAAAGCCAGGCAUGGGUGCUUCUACCUCAUUGUGACCGACGUCCAGCUCUGACUCCAGCCCACCCUGUCCUGGAUUCCCUGACAUCAGAACAGAAAUGGCUGGGCAACAAUCAGAGGGCCCUUGAGUCAGACCAGCUCCUGGUACCCUUAUCGCAAUUGCACUUAGAAAAGGGCCUGAGGUCCAGGGGAGAAUGUGGAAAUGAAAGCUGCUCUGUUCCCAGGAGACAGGUGCAGGCUUUGGAAUGGGCCUCAAAGACACUACAUCAUUCUCCCAAAUUCUCUUCACCUAACCAGGGCCCUCAGAUUCUCUGGACAGUGUUUAACGUUAGCAAACUUAUCUCUUCAGUUAUUUGGUUCUAGUGUUCUCAUUGGGUAUUCUGUCUGUAGAUCAAAUGUGAAUUUAAAGCGUUUCAUUACAAAUCAACAAAUACAGCCUUCCAAUGUACAAGGCAGAGUAUGAAGGGUGCACCAUAUGAAUCAGGAUCCAUGCCCCAUAAGCAGCUUCGGGCUAAAAAAAUACAUACAAAUAUAUAAUUGUAUUUAAAGGCAGCUUAAAUGGGAGAAAGUGUACUUGCAACUGGAAAAAUUAAGAUUUCAAAGUUAACAUAGAAUUUGAAAGGUGUCUUAAGGAAUAAGAACACAGAUAGAGGUAGAUGUACAAUUGAAAAAUCUAAUUUCAAGCCUGAAAAAGGCUUGAGAGUUGGGAAAAUUGGAGGCAUAUUCAGGUAUGCCAAUAAUUCCAGUUUGGCCUGAGAAUUGGGUAAAUGAACAGGUGGAGUCUAGGGUUAGGGAGACAAUGUGCAGUAGUGGAGAGAACAAAGAUACAGAGAUAAGACUUUGACUUGAAUUCCAGCUUUGCUAGAUGUUUGCUGUAUAAUCAUAGAUUAUUUAAUCUCUCUGGCUCUCAAUGUCCUCACUUGUAGGACAAGCAUAAUAAUAUCCAUUCAACUGUUCUGGAAAACCAACUGUGAACUAAAGACCAUGUUAGGUGAUGAGUAUAUAAGGAAUCAUUCAGUCAUUCCCCCAGUGAAUGAAACUGCCCUACUAUUUACUAAGUGAAACCUGAAGUUAGGCACUGGCAAUACAGUGAAGGGGGGAAAAAACACAAAGCUUUAUGAGACUACCUAGAAUAUGUGAGGAAAAGAUCUAAGUACAAAGGCAUACAAUUUGCGGCAGGUGGAGAGGGAAAACAAUGUCAAGCAUUGGAAGCCUUCAGGACUGUUUCAAAAGUGACACCAGCCAGCCAUGUCAACGGAGAAGCUGAGCAAGAGGGGGACAGAGAUGCCCAUUGUGUGUAGCAUCUUGGGGCAAUGUCUAUCUUGACUGCUUAAGCUGUUCCAAUAAAGUAGUGUUUUCCAAAACCA